UACAGAGGUCUCAAGCGUUGUUCGGAUUCAUUGGGCGUAAAGGGUGCGUAGGUGGCGCCGUAAGUCAGGUGUGAAAUUUCGGAGCUUAACUCCGAAACUGCAUUUGAUACUGCGGUGCUUGAGGACUGGAGAGGAGACUGGAAUUUACGGUGUAGCAGUGAAAUGCGUAGAGAUCGUAAGGAAGACCAGUGGCGAAGGCGGGUCUCUGGACCGGUUCUGACGCUCAGGCGGCGAAAGCGUG
rnacentral:rRNA from 1 species